rnacentral:rRNA from 1 species
ACAUGCCUACAACAUAGCAUUAAUGCAUUGGAUCCCAUUUUAACUUUGCAUUUAAGUGCGCUCGGGCUAGAGUAGUACUCGAAUGAGUGACCACCCAGGAAGUCCUAGUAUUUUACAUGCC